CUUCGGCCUCCCCAAACACAUCCGGCCGUCCUAGGUAGCCCGUAGCCCUUUCUCCAGCGCUGCGGAGUGCACUCUCCAAGCAUUGAGAGGAGCGGAUGUAGGAAAAGACCGGACUACGGGGUCUCCAAUGGUCCAAAUCCUGCUAGUCUGUCGCGUUGCAGAGCGACGAUGGCCUCAGGGUGGCGGAGUGCUGAACAGGUUUUGAAAGAGUGGAGGAGGGGUAGGGAAUCGCUGCCAACUCCCCGUUCUGCAUACCUUCUUUCCAGGGUAUGCAGCCUUUCCAGGACUGAGAGGAAAAGGUGCAGUGAGCGAGGUUGAAAAGUAAAAAGAAGAAAGAAAUUAUCAUUUCAGAGAACAAAGAGAUCUUUUGUUUUCUCAUCUGUAAAAUUGUAAACAACAGUGCCUAACCCACAGUCUUAUUUUGAGGCUAAAGAUAAAAUUGAAGAAAUUGUAUAAUGUGAAAUGAAACGAACAUUAAAAAGGAAGUAGAGUGAAAGCAAGUCUACCCGAGUAUUCAAGCUGAUGCUGAUGACCACUUGUAUGGGAUUUAAUUGAGGAGAGCACUGCAAGCUCCAUUAGUACAGCCCCACAGCAACUUCUCUGCCCUCAGUGAUCCACGGUUGUACACUCUACCACAAGGUCUGGAUCUCAGCCUGAGGAAGAGGAUCUUCUUCUGGUGCUAUAUCUCAGCCCUAGGUGUAAUGACUGUUGCUUUUAUCUACUGUUCCUAUUUUCUUUAUAGUUCUUUUUACUACCCAAUCCCUCAUUACUUCAAUUCCAUGUUAUAGUUAAUAAUUCCUUAAAUAAAACAUUCCUGUUUA